rnacentral:misc_RNA from 1 species
GAUGAAGAACGUAGCGAAAUGCGAUAAGUAAUGUGAAUUGCAGAAUUCAGUGAAUCAUCGAAUCUUUGAACGCACAUUGCGCCCCCUGGUAUUCCGGGGGGCAUGCCUGUUCGAGCGUCAUUUCAUCACUCAAGCCUCGCUUGGUAUUGGGCAACGCGGUCCGCCGCGUGCCUCAAAUCGACCGGCUGGGUCUUCUGUCCCCUAAGCGUUGUGGAAACUAUUCGCUAAAGGGUGUUCGGGAGGCUACGCCGUAAAACAACCCCAUUUCUAAGGUUGACCUCGGAUCAGGUAGGGAUACCCGCUGAACUUAAGCAUAUCAAUAAGCGGAGGA